GCCGAUGUAGCUCAGUUGUAGAGCACUUGCCUAGCAUACAUGAGCCCCUGGGUUCCACGCCCAGCACUGGGG
rnacentral:tRNA from 1 species